UCCAUACGUCAACAGGUAGUGCUUGGUGACUUAGAGAUUGAAGAUCAAGGAGAAGAAGAAGAAGGUUGCUGAACAAGGAGUUGAUCCUACAGUGCAGAUCAAGGUGUUGAUUAAAGUAUUCAAGGCUAAGAUUCCUUUUGGGAAGAAGAAUCUUCUACGAGGAGAAAUCAGUUUGAGAUCGAUUCUGGUGGAUAUCCAUAG
rnacentral:lncRNA from 1 species